GCCUGGGUGGCUCAGUUGGUUAAGCGACCGACUUCGGCUCAGGUCAUGGCUUGUGGGUUCAAACCCCGCAUCGGGCU
rnacentral:tRNA from 1 species